GUCGCACGGGCAUUGGGGCAACCUGGUGUCAGUGGCGGACGGGUGAGGAACGCGUAGGUAUCUAUCGUUGGGUGGGGGACAACCGCGGGAAACUGCGGCUAAUACCGCAUGACGACCUAUAUUGAGAGGUAUGGGUCCAAAGGCCGAAAGGUCGCCUGAUGAGGAGCCUGCGUCCGAUUAGCUAGUUGGUGGGGUAACUGCCUACCAAGGCUACGAUCCGUAGCUGGUUUGAGAGAACGACCAGCCACACUGGGACUGAGACACGGCCCAGACUCCUACGGGAGGCAGCAGUGGGGAAUUUUGGACAAUGGGGGCAACCCUGAUCCAGCCAUGCCGCGUGAGUGAAGAAGGCCUUCGGGUUGUAAAGCUCUUUCGGACAGAAAGAAAUCGCCAUUCCUAAUACGAGUGGUGGAUGACGGUACUGUAAGAAGAAGCACCGGCUAACUACGUGCCAGCAGCCGCGGUAAUACGUAGGGUGCGAGCGUUAAUCGGAAUUACUGGGCGUAAAGCGUGCGCAGGCGGUUUAUUAAGACAGAUGUGAAAUCCCCGGGCUUAACCUGGGAACUGCAUUUGUGACUGGUAGGCUAGAGUGUAGCAGAGGGGGGUAGAAUUCCACGUGUAGCAGUGAAAUGCGUAGAGAUGUGGAGGAAUACCGAUGGCGAAGGCAGCCCCCUGGGUUAACACUGACGCUC
rnacentral:rRNA from 1 species